rnacentral:rRNA from 1 species
AACGAACGCUGGCGGCAUGCCUAAUACAUGCAAGUCGAACGAGAUCUUCGGAUCUAGUGGCGCACGGGUGCGUAACGCGUGGGAAUCUGCCCUUGGGUUCGGAAUAACUUCUGGAAACGGAAGCUAAUACCGGAUGAUGACGUAAGUCCAAAGAUUUAUCGCCCAAGGAUGAGCCCGCGUAGGAUUAGGUAGUUGGUGAGGUAAAGGCUCACCAAGCCGACGAUCCUUAGCUGGUCUGAGAGGAUGAUCAGCCACACUGGGACUGAGACACGGCCCAGACUCCUACGGGAGGCAGCAGUAGGGAAUAUUGGACAAUGGGCGAAAGCCUGAUCCAGCAAUGCCGCGUGAGUGAUGAAGGCCUUAGGGUUGUAAAGCUCUUUUAACCGGGAUGAUAAUGACAGUACCGGGAGAAUAAGCCCCGGCUAACUCCGUG